AUUUCAUGGUGUGGGCAUUGUCUCAAAAGGUUCUUAAAACGAUCAAAGUACUUCCAAAAAGACUCACCGACUAAUUGGUAAAAUUGAUUAAUUUCAUUCCUAAAUUU